UACGUAGGUGGCAAGCGUUGUCCGGAAUUAUUGGGCGUAAAGCGCGCGCAGGCGGCCUCUUAAGUCUGAUGUGAAAGCCCCCGGCUCAACCGGGGAGGGCCAUUGGAAACUGGGAGGCUUGAGUACUAGGAGAGAAGAGUGGAAUUCCACGUGUAGCGGUGAAAUGCGUAGAGAUGUGGAGGAACACCAGUGGCGAAGGCGACUCUUUGGCCUAUAACUGACGCUGAGGCGCGAAAGCGUGGGGAGCAAACAG
rnacentral:rRNA from 1 species